ACAGACAGAAGUCCAGAUGUAUGAGAUGUAUGCCUGCUGCAUAAUUCUACACUGAUCUGGAAAGUCUCGGAUUACAGUCUCUCCUCCCAUCUGAACUCCCAAGCACACUGCUCCAAGAGGUAGGACAGAGGCAGUUUUUCCACUCAGCAGUUGGCAAGGCCUGCCAUGUGGCGUAUCUGUAGAACAGCUGAGUGCUGAACAAUGUGUCUAAACUUAAUCUGGUUUAAUCUGAGGAUGAGGAGUUGGGCUUUGAGAAGCCAGAGAGACUUCUUGUGCUUUGCAAAUUGGACUUUCCUGUCACUACUGGCUGAUGACACACACUUGACCACCAGACCAUCCAACCUCUACCCACCACCCAGGGAUCCACUGACUUGGACUAUCUAGCCGAACACCUUGUUUCCUGUGGUGAGGAAAUGUGUUGAUAACUAGCGAUAGUCUGAAGG
ensembl:lncRNA